UUGAACGCUGGCGGAAUGCUUUACACAUGCAAGUCGAACGGCAGCACGGGGGCAACCUUGGUGGCGAGUGGCGAACGGGUGAGUAAUGUAUCGGAACGUACCCAGUCGUGGGGGAUAACUAUCCGAAAGGAUAGCUAAUACCGCAUACGUCCUGAGGGAGAAAGCGGGGGAUCGCAAGACCUCGCGCGAUUGGAGCGGCCGAUAUCGGAUUAGCUAGUUGGUGAGGUAAAGGCUCACCAAGGCGACGAUCCGUAGCGGGUCUGAGAGGACGACCCGCCACACUGGAACUGAGACACGGUCCAGACUCCUACGGGAGGCAGCAGUGGGGAAUUUUGGACAAUGGGGGAAACCCUGAUCCAGCCAUUCCGCGUGAGUGAAGAAGGCCUUCGGGUUGUAAAGCUCUUUCAGCCGGAAAGAAAUUGCUUCUAUUAAUACUAGGAGUAGAUGACGGUACCGGAAGAAGAAGCACCGGCUAACUACGU
rnacentral:rRNA from 1 species